CUUAGCACUUGGAGAGAAUUUUUAAGCUUAUUUUCCUUUUAGUUAUCGAGCUGCGAUUCAACUAGUUUUAAGGUUUAAGUGGUUAGAAUUAGACAACGCAUACACAUAUCUUGCUGCCGCGACUUUUACAAUCUGUUGUGUUGGCUUCCCUUUCGGUUCCUAAAGAAGGCGUAAAAGCUACGCUAUCUCCCAAUACAAAAUCAACUAUGUAAAUUCUGGUUCUCACAGUAAUAUUGAAUCACUAUUACAAAAGCUUUCAAGAACGGUGGAAUAGUGACACUGACCACAAAGUAGAGAGAAGAAUAUGCUAGGAUGUUGAAGAAUCUGUCUCAGUAAAUAGGUGAAAGGAGUAGAGAAGAGAGGUAACAUGAAAGUGAAGCCACUCCAAGUGUUAGUAGGUGGGCCUGUAUUUCUCAUCUUUACCACAUCAUUUAAGUAAGUCGCUAUGUUUGAUGUGACUCCUUUGAAUUCAUAUCUCUCUAUCCUGUCAAUCACUAUGAGAAGGGUGUAAGCUUUUCUAAGUCCUCUUCUUAACUCUCCACCAGCCAUCGAGUGAGGCAAUUUAAGAUUGUGCUUUUGUGUGUGUGUGUGUGUUCUGAGGGAUAAAAAAGAGAGGUAAGGUUAUGUUUGAUUUGUGUGAGAGAGAAUUAUGGUUAUGCAUUGUGUGAAGAAUUAUAUUUAUAAAGCUUUACACCAUACA